rnacentral:rRNA from 1 species
CACGUAGGGGGCGAGCGUUGUCCGGAAUCAUUGGGCGUAAAGAGCUCGUAGGCGGCUCAGUAAGUCGGGUGUGAAACCCCCAGGCUCAACCUGGGGACGCCACUCGAUACUGCUGUGGCUAGAGUCCAGUAGAGGAGUGUGGAAUUCCCGGUGUAGCGGUGAAAUGCGCAGAUAUCGGGCGGAACACCAGCGGCGAAGGCGGCAUCCUGGCCCUGACCUGACGCUGAGGCGCGAGAGCGUGGGGAGCAAACUGG